rnacentral:rRNA from 1 species
GAUGAACGCUGGCGGCGUGCCUAAUACAUGCAAGUCGAGCGAACGGACGAGAAGCUUGCUUCUCUAAUGUUAGCGGCGGACGGGUGAGUAACACGUGGAUAACCUACCUAUAAAACUGGGAUAACUUCGGGAAACCGUAGCUAAUACCGGAUAAUAUUUUGAACCGCAUGGUUCAAAAGUGAAAGACGGUCUUGCUGUCACUUAUAGAUGGAUCCGCGCUGCAUUAGCUAGUUGGUAAGGUAACGGCUUACCAAGGCAACGAUGCAUAGCCGACCUGAGAGGGUGAUCGGCCACACUGGAACUGAGACACGGUCCAGACUCCUACGGGAGGCAGCAGUAGGGAAUCUUCCGCAAUGGGCGAAAGCCUGACGGAGCAACGCCGCGUGAGUGAUGAAGGUCUUCGGAUCGUAAAACUCUGUUAUUAGGGAAGAACAUAUGUGUAAGUAACUGUGCACAUCUUGACGGUACCUAAUCAGAAAGCCACGGCUAACUACGUG